AGGUCUUCAAGAUGUUGAGGCAGACUGAGCCUGGUCCUCGGGUGUCUGCGUGUCAGAGGGAGCUCCUCCUGCCUUUUAUGGAGGAGCACCCCUAGCGGGCGAUGCCCACAUGCCCUUUGGACACCUCGUUUAGAAAGAGCAAUCGAAAGGAGCUCCGGAGUCGGUUUGCAGCAUUCCAACACCAGGCAAUCCCUGCGCAUAGUUCUCUUGCGCGGUGGAAGGCUUUCUGGUGGAAGGAGCCCCACAACUCUGAGCAGGAAUGGCUAAGCGGCUUGAAGAAGAGCAGACGAGUGCCGGUGGCAGUCAGCUCUUCAACUACCACAGCCGCAUUCUGCAAUCGACUGUGACCUCGAAGGUAGACAGUGCAUGAUGCCCAGUGGUCUGGCUGUCAGAAGCGUACCCCAGCACCAACGACAGCAGUGGCAUCUGUCAGCGAAUGGCCCCAGCAUGCUGCCUCGCAUCGUAGAACAGCAGGCAAUGUACCUUGACCAGUGGCAGCAGACC